GAUUUCUGGCUUAAUGCGCCUAGCCCGCCACGGUUACGUGUGUGAGUGCCGGGUCGUGUUUGCCAUCCUUCUAGAAAAUGUACAGAUGUCGCUCUUCAUUGAGUGCGUUUGUCACACGAUCUAGAUCUUUUACUUUGAAAAAAUUAGAGUGUUUAAAGCAGGCGUUUUGCUAUGAAUACAUUAGCAUGGAAUAAUAAUUUAGGACUUUGGUUCUAUUUUGUUGGUUUCUAGAACUGAAGUAAUGAUUGAUAGGGAUAGUUGGGGGUGCUAGUAUUCAGUGGCCAGAGGUGAAAUUCUCGGAUUCACUGAAGACUAACUUAUGCGAAAGCAUU
rnacentral:rRNA from 1 species